rnacentral:tRNA from 1 species
GCGGAAGUAGUUCAGUGGUAGAACACCACCUUGCCAUGGUGGGGGUCGCGGGUUCGAA